rnacentral:rRNA from 1 species
AGUGAACGCUGGCGGUAGGCCUAACACAUGCAAGUCGAACGGCAGCACAGUAAGAGCUUGCUCUUACGGGUGGCGAGUGGCGGACGGGUGAGGCAUACAUAGGCAUCUACUUUUUCGUGGGGGAUAACGUAGGGAAACUUACGCUAAUACCGCAUACGACCUACGGGUGAAAGCAGGGGAUCUUCGGACCUUGCGCGAUUGAAUGAGCCGAUGUCGGAUUAGCUAGUUGGCGGGGUAAAGGCCCACCAAGGCGACGAUACGUAGCUGGUCUGAGAGGAUGAUCAGCCACACUGGAACUGAGACACGGUCCAGACUCCUACGGGAGGCAGCAGUGGGGAAUAUUGGACAAUGGGCGCAAGCCUGAUCCAGCCAUACCGCGUGGGUGAAGAAGGCCUUCGGGUUGUAAAGCCCUGUUGUUGGGAAAGAAAAGCAGCAGGUUAAUACCCCGCUGUUCUGACGGUACCCAAAGAAUAAGCACCGGCUAACUUCGUG